UUUGCUCCCUUUCAAUAUUUUAUAAAAUAAUAAAAUGCUAACCCAACAACGGUAUUUAAUUGGAGCACAAAUGUUCACUCUUGAAAUGGAAGGACGGAAGGUUAGUCUCUGUCGUCGAGUCCCACGAGGACAUAGAGAAAGCAAUGACAUGGGUCUCUUUCCUUCCCUUGUCCCGUACAUUGGCACACAAGCACAGGAACCAGGAAUCAGUGGCAACGAUUUGGGGACCUCCUCGCACAAAACCCUGUCUUCGGUAGUCCAUGACAGCCACGAAAUUGCACCACGCCUCGCAAGUAGUGACUCACGGGGGACCAGG
rnacentral:lncRNA from 1 species